GCUGUAAUCCCAAAAAUGUCAUCAGGUUCCUUACAACGUGGAAGGUGAGUGUUGGCUGAACCUUGCAGAAAAAGUUAUAUUUUGCAGAGCGCUCCAAAGGUUUUCAGUGCUGUCUAGGAGUUCUUCUAGAACAGGCUACUUGUAAACUAUGUUCUUCAGUCCGGAAAGUAAUCAUAUGAAGUCAGGUUGUAGAGCCUUCAUGGUGUUCUUAAUCUAUUCCUCACACCUUCACCUGCUAUUGCAUUCCAAAAUUUUUAUACAAUAUAUGUUGGUACACAGAAGGAUAACAUUAUUAUAAAAUGUCCAAUGUCUUUUAAUAUUAGUCUUCUUAAAUGUCUUUUUUUUAGUAACUACUUUUCUUAGAAUCUACUUUUCAUAUCAGUAAUUCUACUGUUGUAAUGAAGAGGUAAUAUGACCUUUUCAGCACACUUAAAUAAUAUAUAUAUAAUAUAUAUAUAUA